rnacentral:rRNA from 1 species
CGGCGGACGGGUGAGUAACACGUGGAUAACCUACCUAUAAGACUGGGAUAACUUCGGGAAACCGGAGCUAAUACCGGAUAAUAUAUUGAACCGCAUGGUUCAAUAGUGAAAGACGGUUUUGCUGUCACUUAUAUAUGGAUCCGCGCCGCAUUAGCUAGUUGGUAAGGUAACGGCUUACCAAGGCAACGAUGCGUAGCCGACCUGAGAGGGUGAUCGGCCACACUGGAACUGAGACACGGUCCAGACUCCUACGGGAGGCAGCAGGC